rnacentral:rRNA from 1 species
UGGGACUGAGACACGGCCCAAACUCCUACGGGAGGCUGCAGUAGGGAAUCUUCCACAAUGGGCGAAAGCCUGAUGGAGCAACGCCGCGUGUGUGAUGAAGGCUUUCGGGUCGUAAAGCACUGUUGUAUGGGAAGAAAAGUUAAGGUAGGGAAUGACCUUAGCCUGACGGUACCAUACCAGAAAGGGACGGCUAAAUACGUGCCAGCAGCCGCGGUAAUACGUAUGUCCCGAGCGUUAUCCGGAUUUAUUGGGCGUAAAGCGAGCGCAGACGGUUGGUUAAGUCUGAUGUGAAAGCCCGGAGCUCAACUCCGGAAAGGCAUUGGAAACUGGUUAACUUGAGUGCAGUAGAGGUAAGUGGAACUCCAUGUGUAGCGGUGGAAUGCGUAGAUAUAUGGAAGAACACCAGCGGCGAAGGCGGCUUACUGGACUGUAACUGACGUUGAGGCUCGAAAGUGUGGGUAGCAAACAGGAUUAGAUACCCUGGUAGUCCACACCGUAAACGAUGAACACUAGGUGUUAGGAGGUUUCCGCCUCUUAGUGCCGAAGCUAACGCAUUAAGUGUUCCGCCUGGGGAGUACGACCGCAAGGUUGAAACUCAAAGGAAUUGACGGGGACCCGCACAAGCGGUGGAGCAUGUGGUUUAAUUCGAAGCAACGCGAAGAACCUUACCAGGUCUUGACAUCCUUUGAAGCUUUUAGAAAUAGAAGUGUUCUCUUCGGAGACAAAGUGACAGGUGGUGCAUGGUCGUCGUCAGCUCGUGUCGUGAGAUGUUGGGUUAAGUCCCGCAACGAGCGCAACCCUUAUUGUUAGUUGCCAGCAUUCAGAUGGGCACUCUAGCGAGACUGCCGGUGACAAACCGGAGGAAGGCGGGGACGACGUCAGAUCAUCAUGCCCCUUAUGACCUGGGCUACACACGUGCUACAAUGGCGUAUACAACGAGUUGCCAACCUGCGAAGGUGAGCUAAUCUCUUAAAGUACGUCUCAGUUCGGACUGCAGUCUGCAACUCGACUGCACGAAGUCGGAAUCGCUAGUAAUCGCGGAUCAGCACGCCGCGGUGAAUACGUUCCCGGGUCUUGUACACACCGCCCGUCACACCAUGGAAGUUUGUAAUGCCCAAAGCCGGUGGCCUAACCGUAAGGAGGGAACCGUCUAAG